AACAAACGCUGGCGGCGUGCCUAAUACAUGCAAGUCGAACGGUGAAAGCUUUCGGGUGAGUACUAGUGGCGCACGGGUGAGUAACGCGUGGAUAAUCUGCCUUAGAGUGGGGGAUAACUAGUCGAAAGAUUAGCUAAUACCGCAUAAGACCACAAGAACUGCGGUUCAAGGGGUCAAAGGUUUUUCGCUCUAAGAUGAGUCCGCGUAAGAUUAGCUAGUUGGUAGGGUAACGGCCUACCAAGGCGACGAUCUUUAACUGGUCUGAGAGGAUGAUCAGUCACACUGGAACUGAGACACGGUCCAGACUCCUACGGGAGGCAGCAGUAGGGAAUAUUGCACAAUGGAGGAAACUCUGAUGCAGCGACGCCGCGUGAGUGAUGAAGGCCUUCGGGUCGUAAAGCUCUGUCGCAGGGGAAUAACACAAUGAAGGUACCCUGUAAGAAAGGAUCGGCUAACUUCGUGCCAGCAGCCGCCGUAAGAC
rnacentral:rRNA from 1 species